UGGAUACCCGCCUCCUUCCAGCGUCCCGACGGAGAGGUGGAAGAGAAGGCAGGAACCGCUCAAAAUAAAUGAGGUCAUCCGAGGAGAUCUUGCAGAGGAUAACUCAGUUAUUCUCCACCACUGAUAUUCGUCUGUAUCCAUUGGAUCUAAUGAAGCAGAGGUGGGGGCCUUGCCAGGGGAAAUGACCAGGAUGAAGAGAUUUUUUAAUGAAGUCAAGCACAUCAAAGGGUCUUCCAUUGGUCUGAUGUUCCAACACAUGGAGGAGUCUGGGCGCGUGCAGUGGCAACAGCAGGUUACAACCUCUUCUGUGAUUUUUGAUGGGAAACUGUUGUAAAACAAAUCCAUCUGUGGCGUCCUCGAGCCAUGGGGUUUAUGGACUCAUGAAACACUAGAAAUACCAAAGGUGUGACACACGAUGAAGGACGAGAACCAGGAGAUUGUUGCCAUUCACGUCAAGAAUCCAGACCUAUUGUUGACUUGGCUCACGUUACAAAGAACCUAGUCACCAAUAUUGUCCUGUUUUGUCUGAUGUAUGCACAAAUGCAUUUUUAAUCACAAGUUUUAACUUUGACAUUUGGAAGGAUAUUAGUUAGUGAACCUUUUGCCGUCAACAAUUUACUAUCUCAGGCAGAUUCACAAUAUCUGCCCUGUUCUUAAUGCAUUAAAAAAAGCAGAAGAAAAGCAUUCUCAGAAAGCUUGAAAGAAUGGACUUGAAAUACGAAACCCACCACGCAUG